CUCCUUGACGUUAGCGGCGGACGGGUGAGUAACACGUGGGUAACCUACCUAUAAGACUGGGAUAACUUCGGGAAACCGGAGCUAAUACCGGAUAAUAUUUCGAACCGCAUGGUUCGAUAGUGAAAGGNGGUUUUGCUAUCACUUAUAGAUGGACCCGCGCCGUAUUAGCUAGUUGGUAAGGUAACGGCUUACCAAGGCGACGAUACGUAGCCGACCUGAGAGGGUGAUCGGCCACACUGGAACUGAGACACGGUCCAGACUCCUACGGGAGGCAGCAGCG
rnacentral:rRNA from 1 species